AAUUAUUAUUUUCUGCAAAGAUUUGUGGGAAAAUUGCCUCUUAUUUUACCGAUCACAUUAAAGUGAACAUAUUGUUUUUUCAUGCGUUUAACUCACUGAUCUAGAUAUUAAAGUUGGUGAAUCAAAAUUUUACUGUAAUUGCAUGAAGCAAGAAUUAAAACAAUUGUUUCGGUAUAUGCAAAAUACAAGUCACUAGGUUCAUCAAGUAUGGCUUAUCCCGGACAAAAUCAACAUCUAUAUCCACAGCGACAACAUCAGUCAGUAGGACAACAUCAGUCGAUGGUACCAUAUCCACAAUCUCGACCCAACGAAUAUCGAGGAGGAACACAAGGAGGGAGCAACAAUAACUAUUCCCGCUCAACAGGGAAUUAUCAACCAAGUCGUCAAAAUGCUAGUAGUGGUGGGUUUGUGAAUACUGGAACUAUGAAUAUAAAUGUCCAUCCGAAAAGAUAAACAAAAUCCACAGCUGAAACUUGAAAACCACACCUGCUUCCUAGUGUAGACGUAAAUAUUAUAUUCGAAAUUAUAGACUUUGUCAUAAUGACAUUAGUUUUUAUUGUGUUAUUAUAUUAUAAAUGCUUUGCUUAUUUUCCGCAUGUCUUUUGAGAUAUCCUAAAAUGUUUUGUUGUACAUAUGGUGGGAAAACAAUUGUCCGAAAACCGAAACUAUUAAGAUGAAUAGUUUAGUACAAAAUGCAUACAUGCACAUCAAUGUCGUGUUUUUCAGGUUCAAUAAGUACAAUUUGUCGUGACCAAUUAAAUCUUAUUUCGUUUUUCUAUUAUAUACAUUUUGGCCAUCAUACAGUUGUCUAUAAAUCGUCAUUUAUUGGUAAUCAAACGGUCAUUAUAAAUUAUUUAUAAUUCAAUUUUACGGCGAAAGUAUGUUAUAUUUGAAAUACACUUGUUCAGUGAGUUAGGGUACAAGGAAGGUCAGAAAAUUACUAAUCAUCUUAUGUGAUAUUAUAUACUGACCGCAUUUAGAAAACACUAGUUUAUUCUUUUUAAUUACGUCACCGUUGAAGGCAAUGACUGUCUGUAACCAACGCCAAAAUGAUUGUCAGAAAGGUCAACCAAUUCUGUAUGGAAUGUUUUGAGUUCUGUUUUGUACCUUCUGAUUGUGCCUCUGUCCCACACAUUACAGUGUGUUUUGGCAAUUAUGCGGUUUAAACUUUAGGGCUUUAAAUGUUUUUUCUGCAGUCGAUUCUGUGGCAUUUCAGUAUAUAGGAAACAUUUAUGCAGUGAAUCUGUCUGCCAUGGAAUUCGGCGACUUGAUUAGCAGUUGCCAUUGAGGCUGUAAACAUGUCUCGAAAAUGACGUUGCCUAAUCAAAUUCUAUCGACAUGGCGUUGUCACUACAUAUUGAUCUGGUCAUGGAUGGUCAUCAAAAAAUCUUGUCUGCCUGUAUCGUUGCUGUAAGGACAGUACUAUAAGACGAGUUUUGGACGUGAAAUUAUCCGGUAACAGCACGUUCACGUUUCUCUGCCUGCCAUAUUCUUAUGGGCUGAUUCAGAUUAGGCAAUAUGGAGAUGCAACAUUUUUAAACUGAUUUAAGUGUGGGUAUGGAUUGAAAGAAUUGUUUCACGAAGUAACAAUCUUAAAAAAAUCAUUUAUGGGUUUCAAAUUUCGCUUCAAAAAAAUUCGUUCGACUUCAAUAAUCCGGUAUGUUCAAUGAUCUCAGGUAAGUCAGAUUUUGAAUUGUUCUUAACAGAAAGAAGUAUGGUAAGCAUGAAUAGUAGUUAUAUGAGGAUCAAUCAUGAUUUGGUAAAAAAAAAUCAACAAAAUGUGUGUUGCUUUUUAAAGUUCGUAUAAGAAAGGGUUUACAAUAGAGAAAACAUUUUUAUUCAUGUUAUCAAAUUGAUUCAAUGAUGCCUGAAUUGUUAUACCAGUCCAAAUUACUAAAACAAUUUAUUUAAACAAAUUCUUCUUAAUGCUACUGCACGUUUCACGAAUUUUCACAAAGGAUAAUCAAAAUUCGCCAUGCAUGCCUAUGAAGUCACUUACUCCGCAAUUUAUUGUUACAUUAUUAAUUGAUUUUUAUAAUUGACAUAAGCUUACAGGGGUAUUAGUUGAUCGUCAAAAUUUAAACAAAAGAAUCACAUAGGUUUUAUUGCAAAUCUUAGACUGUAAUGUCAUGCCAAGUAAAGAGCUACAAGCCGAGACGACUAAAUAUUCACCAAAGUCAAAAUGUCAUGUAUUGACUUGACAUGCACUAGAAAUAGACAGGGUAAGAAUGAAUAACACUGGUACCUUGAAUAUAUCUAAAAUUCAACAAAAAUUGCAAAAAGAUAAAUUUACCAGUAGAACCAUACUUGUCUGCCAUAUUUGUUUGGGUGACUGUUAAAAGGAAACAAAAAUUACAUUUUUCGUUGGAUUUCAUUUUACUAUUUAUGAAAAUGUUGGAUCAAGCAUAAUUGUAGUUCCAUCGACAGUAUACCACUUAGAGUUUGAGUAAAUUGGUUGAAAAAAAACAGAUUUACCAAAUUUUAAUGUUUUCUGUGUGUACUUUAUUUUAAGCUUUAGCUUAAAGCAUUCAUUUGAGCUUGGCGUGUAAUAGGUUUCCCCCAUUUCCAUUCUCAAUUUUAUUGUUCAGUGCCCUGUAAACUUUAAUACUAUGUACAUUUUCUUUUUAUGAUUUAUAAUUACUUUAUUGUAAAAAAGCAUAUUUUGUCAUAUAAAAGUUAAAAUUGUU